AUACACACACACAUUUCUCCCCAGUGGGACAGAGGAGAGAGCACACAUUUUGGAGUCUAGAUAAACAUGAAUUAAACUCUGGUUCUGCUACUGACUAACCUCUUAAUGUCUCUGUUUCUAACCUGUACAGGUGGCUGUGAGAACUGCGCCCCAGCACGGUGCCUUAAAUGUAGUACGCGCUCAGCGCGUGUCUUCUUUUCCCAGAUGCAGGUUGUUCCAGACUUCUCCAGUGGGACCCAGAGCUGCGAAAGCCAAGGGCCCGGCACCCAAGACAUCCACCUCAGUUUCCAACCCCGUUGCCACCAAAGUUGAGGCUCAGAGUAAGACUCCAUGAGAAAAAAACAUCAGACAAUGCUCCCAUGAAAGACUCUACAAAAUAUCUGACCAGUAUUCCUCAAAACUGUCAAAGCCACCAAAAAAAGAAGAAGAGGAAAUUCUGAGAAAUGGUCAUAGCUGAAAAGAGCUUAAGGAGACACGAAGACUAAAUGUAAUGAGUUGUCCUGGGUGGGAUCCUGGAACAGAAAAAAAGACAUCAGGUGAGAGCUAAGGAAACCUGAAUGAAGUGUGACUUCAGCCAAUUAUAAUAUAUCAUUACUGGUUCAGUAGUUACGACAACUGCGCCAUACUCACGUAAGGGACGUCAAUGAGGGAAACUGGGCGUGGGGGAUGUGGGAGCUCUCUGUGAUGGCCUCACUUUUCUGAAAUCUAAAACUACUCUAAAACAAAUAAAAAUUCACUUAAAAAGUU